CGCUGGCGGCGUGCCUAACACAUGCNAGUCGAACGGGGGUAGCAAUACCCCAGUGGNGAACGGGUGCGUAACACGUGAGGAACAUUCCUUCCGGUGGGGGAUAGCCGGCCUAACGGCCGGGUAAUACCGCAUACGCUGUUCGGGGUGCAUACCCUGGAUCGGAAAGCAGCAAUGCGCCGGAAAGGUGCCUCGCGGCCUAUCAGCUAGUUGGUGAGGUAAUGGCUCACCAAGGCGACGACGGGUAGCUGGUCUGAGAGGAUGGCCAGCCACAUUGGGACUGAGACACGGCCCAGACUCCUACGGGAGGCAGCAGUGGGGAAUCUUGCGCAAUGGGCGAAAGCCUGACGCAGCGACGCCGCGUGUGGGAUGACGGCCUUCGGGUUGUAAACCACUGUCGCGAGGGACGAAGAUCUGACGGUACCUCGAAAGGAAGCACCGGCUAACUCUGUGCCAGCAGCCGCGGUAAUACAGAGGGUGCAAGCGUUGUCCGGAAUCACUGGGCGUAAAGGGCGCGUAGGUGGCCUGAUAAGUAGGAGGUGAAAUCCUGGGGCUUAACCUCAGGGCUGCCUUCUAGACUGUCCGGCUUGAGCACAGUAGAGGCAGGUGGAAUUCCCGGU
rnacentral:rRNA from 1 species